rnacentral:snoRNA from 2 species
CCCUUCUCAGGCUCACAUCUGGAGAGUUUCCAGCACUCUACCAGUCUCGACUAUGGGAGGGAGAGUCAAGCAGAGGCAUACCCAUUCCAUUCCUAGCUUGGGCCGUGGCUAGCGAGUAGAAGGCAAUCUGCUACAAGU